ACGAACGCUGGCGGCACGCUUAACACAUGCAAGUCGAACGAGAGAAGAGGAGCUUGCUUUUCUGAUCUAGUGGCGGACGGGUGAGUAACACGUGAGCAAUCUGCCUUUCAGAGGGGGAUACCGAUUGGAAACGAUCGUUAAUACCGCAUAACAUAAUUGAACCGCAUGAUUUGAUUAUCAAAGAUUUAUCGCUGAAAGAUGAGCUCGCGUCUGAUUAGCUAGUUGGUAAGGUAACGGCUUACCAAGGCGACGAUCAGUAGCCGGACUGAGAGGUUGAUCGGCCACAUUGGGACUGAGACACGGCCCAGACUCCUACGGGAGGCAGCAGUGGGGAAUAUUGCACAAUGGAGGAAACUCUGAUGCAGCGAUGCCGCGUGAGGGAAGAAGGUUUUAGGAUUGUAAACCUCUGUCUUCAGGGACGAAAAAAGACGGUACCUGAGGAGGAAGCUCCGGCUAACUACGUGCCAGCAGCCGCGGUAAUACGUAGGGAGCGAGCGUUGUCCGGAAUUACUGGGUGUAAAGGGAACGUAGGCGGGAUCGCAAGUCAGAUGUGAAAACUAUGGGCUUAACCCAUAAACUGCAUUUGAAACUGUGGUUCUUGAGUGAAGUAGAGGUAAGCGGAAUUCCUAGUGUAGCGGUGAAAUGCGUAGAUAUUAGGAGGAACAUCAGUGGCGAAGGCGGCUUACUGGGCUUUAACUGACGCUGAGGCUCGAAAGCGUGGGGAGCAAACAGGAUUAGAUACCCUGGUAGUCCACGCCGUAAACGAUGAUUACUAGGUGUGGGGGGACUGACCCCUUCCGUGCCGCAGCAAACGCAAUAAGUAAUCCACCUGGGGAGUACGACCGCAAGGUUGAAACUCAAAGGAAUUGACGGGGGCCCGCACAAGCAGUGGAGUAUGUGGAUUAAUUCGAAGCAACGCGAAGAACCUUACCAGGUCUUGACAUCGUAUGCAUAGCUCAGAGAUGAGUGAAAUCUCUUCGGAGACAUAUAGACAGGUGGUGCAUGGUUGUCGUCAGCUCGUGUCGUGAGAUGUUGGGUUAAGUCCCGCAACGAGCGCAACCCUUACUGUUAGUUGCUACGCAAGAGCACUCUAGCAGGACUGCCGUUGACAAAACGGAGGAAGGUGGGGAUGACGUCAAAUCAUCAUGCCCCUUAUGACCUGGGCCUCACACGUACUACAAUGGCUGUCAACAGAGGGAAGCAAAGCCGCGAGGUGGAGCAAACCCCUAAAAGCAGUCUUAGUUCGGAUUGUAGGCUGCAACCCGCCUACAUGAAGUCGGAAUUGCUAGUAAUCGCAGAUCAGCAUGCUGCGGUGAAUACGUUCCCGGGCCUUGUACACACCGCCCGUCACGCCAUGGGAGUCGGUAACACCCGAAGCCUGUAGUCUAACCGCAAGGAGGACGCAGUCGAAGGUGGGAUUGAUGACUGGGGUG
rnacentral:rRNA from 1 species